AAUGAACGUUGGCGGCAUGGAUUAGGCAUGCAAGUCGAGCGAGAAGAGUUUCGAAGCUUGCUUUAGAACUCGGACAGCGGCGAAAGGGAGAGUAACGCGUAGUUAUGUGCCCUAGGGUCCGGAAUAGCCACGGGAAACUGUGGGUAAUGCCAGAUAAUAUCCCCGGAUCAAAGGUGUGAUUCCGCCCUAGGAGCAGACUGCGUCCUACUAGCUAGUUGGUGGGGUAAUGGCCUACCAAGGCAACGAUGGGUAGCGGGUGUGAGAGCAUGACCCGUCUCACUGGGACUGAGACACUGCCCAGACACCUACGGGUGGCUGCAGUCGAGAAUCUUCGGCAAUGGGCGAAAGCCUGACCGAGCGAUGCCGCGUGCGGGAUGAAGGCCCUCGGGUUGUAAACCGCUGUCGUAGGGGAGGAAGGUUCCGUGAAGAGCGGAAUUUGACCUAUCCUAGGAGGAAGUACGGGCUAAGUUCGUGCCAGCCGCCGCGGUAA
rnacentral:rRNA from 1 species